GCAGUCGAGCGGAUGACGGGAGCUUGCUCCUUGAUUCAGCGGCGGACGGGUGAGUAAUGCCUAGGAAUCUGCCUGGUAGUGGGGGACAACGUUUCGAAAGGAACGCUAAUACCGCAUACGUCCUACGGGAGAAAGCAGGGGACCUUCGGGCCUUGCGCUAUCAGAUGAGCCUAGGUCGGAUUAGCUAGUUGGUGGGGUAAUGGCUCACCAAGGCGACGAUCCGUAACUGGUCUGAGAGGAUGAUCAGUCACACUGGAACUGAGACACGGUCCAGACUCCUACGGGAGGCAGCAGUGGGGAAUAUUGGACAAUGGGCGAAAGCCUGAUCCAGCCAUGCCGCGUGUGUGAAGAAGGUCUUCGGAUUGUAAAGCACUUUAAGUUGGGAGGAAGGGCAUUAACCUAAUACGUUAGUGUUUUGACGUUACCGACAGAAUAAGCACCGGCUAACUCUGUGCCAGCAGCCGCGGUAAUACAGAGGGUGCAAGCGUUAAUCGGAAUUACUGGGCGUAAAGCGCGCGUAGGUGGUUUGUUAAGUUGGAUGUGAAAGCCCCGGGCUCAACCUGGGAACUGCAUCCAAAACUGGCAAGCUAGAGUACGGUAGAGGGUGGUGGAAUUUCCUGUGUAGCGGUGAAAUGCGUAGAUAUAGGAA
rnacentral:rRNA from 1 species